rnacentral:rRNA from 1 species
UACGUAGGGGGCAAGCGUUGUCCGGAAUCAUUGGGCGUAAAGAGCGCGUAGGCGGCCCGAUAAGUCCGCUGUGAAAGUCCAGGGCUCAACCCUGGAAUGCCGGUGGAUACUGUCGGGCUCGAAUCCGGAAGAGGUGAGUGGAAUUCCUGGUGUAGCGGUGAAAUGCGCAGAUAUCAGGAGGAACACCAAUGGCGAAGGCAGCUCACUGGGACGGUAUUGACGCUGAGGCGCGAAAGCUAGGGGAGCGAACGGG